CCUGUCCUAAACUAUUCAUUUGGUUUGCCUUGAAAUGAAAUCACAAAGUAAAGUUUGUUUUGAAACAGUCAUAACCUCCUUUUCCAGCUGCUCCGGUAACACACGAAAGACUCCACCGCUCUAACCUUCGUCGUUGCCGCUCCUUUCUCAAACACACCCACGCAGCAAGGAAUUAUGUCACCUAUGAGAUUAACAAGGUUUCUUUCAAAACCCUCUUUACUUCCUAACUUUUUCACUUUCAGAUUUUUCUCACAUUUUCACAAUGUUAGUGAUGUUGUUGAUGAUGAUUCUAUUUAUAUGUUCAAAAGUAUGCUAAAUAUGCGAAAAACCCCUUCCAUUAUUGAAUUUAACAAGAUUUUAAGUUCCCUUGUUAAAACAAAGAACAAUUACUCAACUGUUAUUUCCCUUUUCCAACAAAUGGAAUUCCGUGGAACAAUUAGGCCUGACAUUAUUACUAUGUCCAUUUUAAUCAAUUGUUACUGUCAUAUAGGUCAAAUGACUUAUGCAUUUUCUCUAUUGGGAAAGAUUCUUAAGAUGGGUUAUCAGCCGAAUAUCGUAACCUUGACAACCCUUAUAAAAGGCCUUUGUCUUAAAAAUGACAUUCAGAAAGCAUUGUACUUUCAUGAUGAUCUUAUCGCUAAGGGAUUUCAGCUCAACCAGGUUAGUUACGGGACAUUGAUCAAUGGCUUGUGUAAAAUGGGACAUACAACACCUGCCCUCCAACUGUUGAGACGGCUCGAAAAAGGAUCAGUCAAGCCUGGUUUGGUAAUUUACAGUACAAUCAUUGAUAGCAUGUGCAAAAAUAAGCUUGUAGAUGAUGCUUGUGAAUUAUUUUCUGAAAUGGUUAACAAGGGAAUUUUUCCAGACGUUGUCACUUAUAGUGCUCUAAUCUAUGGUUUUUGUAUUGUGAAUAAAUUAAAAGAAGCAAUUGUUUUGUUGAACGAAAUGGUAUCGAAAAACAUCAACCCAAAUGUUUAUACCUUUAGUAUAUUGAUCGAUGCGUUUUGUAAGGAGGGAAAGAUGAAAGAAGCUAAAAGUGUGUUAGCUAUGAUGAUGAAACAAGGCAUGAAACCUGAUGUAGUUACUUAUAAUACUUUAAUGGAUGGGUUCUGCCUUCGUAAUGAAGUGAGCAAGGCCAAAUAUAUAUUCAACACUAUGGUCCAAAGAGGAAUGAUGCCCGAUGUUAAGAGCUACAAUAUUAUGAUCAAUGGGUUCUGUAAGAGUAAAAUGUUGGAUGAAGCCAUCAAUCUCUUUGAAGAAAUGCAUUUCAAAAAUAUCUUUCCCGAUACGGUAACUUACAGCACUCUUAUUGAUGGUUUGUGCAAAUCAGGGAGAAUUUCGUAUGCUUGGGAGCUUGUAGAUGAGAUGUGUGACAGAGGCCAACCGCCCAAUGUAAUCACCUACAAUUCCUUCUUGCACACUUUGUGCAAAAAUCAUGAACUUGACAAGGCAAUUGCAUUAGUCAAGAAAAUUAUCGACCAAGGUAUCAUGCCAAAUUUGUACACGUACAGUACCCUAAUUGAUGGACUUUGCAAAGGUGGGAGGCUUAAUGAUGCACUAAAGGUUUUUCAUGAUCUUUUGGCUAAAGAAUACAAUAUUAAUGUUGUAACGUACACAACUAUGAUUUGUGGACUUUGUAAUGAGGGCUUGUUUGAAGAAGCAUUUGUUUUGCUGUCAAAAAUGGAAGAUAAGGGCUGCUUUCCUAAUGCCUUCACUUUUGAAAUAAUGAUUUCUACUCUCUUUGAAAGUGGUGAGAAUGAUAAAGCAGAGAAACUUCUUCGUCAAAUGAUUGCUAGAGGUCUGCUAUAAGAGUAAAUACAUUGGUUUUCUUAUGGAAACAAAAGUUCUUCCCAACUCAUGUCUCUCUAUCACAACUUAUUUCCACUUACAAAAAAUUGAUGAUAAACUACUUGAAAGACGACGUCGUUGAGUUCGUGCGUGGCUUUCUUCUCGCUGCGAACAAGAAGAAGAAAAUGUCAUCACUGUUUAUGAGAUUAACAAGGUUUCCUGUUCAUGUGAUGGCUUAAACAACCACCAAAGAAUCCACAUUCAAUUCCACAUGCGAAAAAUUAAAACUUCUAGCAUAAAUGAGUCCUUCAAAAAUUCUCCAAAACUCUGCUAAAUACGCACUACCAAAGCCGACAAGUUUAUAAAAUCCACCCAAGCAUUAACCAUCACUCCCUCUAAUAAUUCCAUCACAUCCAAUCGAGCCAUCUUCACUACGAGCCCCAUCCGUAUUCAAUCUAACCAAAUUCUCUAUAUUUGUAUGGGAUUUGUAUUUUUCGCACUCCCUACAAUGUCUCAGUCACCCCCUGAAAUGACUAAACUAUCCUUCUCGCUUUGUAGGAUGCGAGCACGUCGAUCGCGUUGCAGAAAGCGAGGGGUUAUAUGUAGGUAACCUUUGAAUUCACCCACCCCCCAGACAUUUAACAUGUUCUCUAUCUAAGAUGCGAACACAUCUUAUUUUAAAAGCAUCGCCGUCUAGGAUGUGAACACGUCUUAAUUAUAAGACGUCUUCAUCUUCUUCUUUCCCAUUUCAACAAUUUCUAAAAAACUAGGAGGAGUAUUGGCCUACUGGUAAACUGGUAAAAUUGAAGGUUUAUUGGCCGUUUGUGGUUGAAAACAACAAAAGGAAGUUAUGUUUUAAAACACAAUACUCACAAACCCAUUGCCCAAACCCUCAAUUCUCCCAAAACCUUAGUUCGUCGAAAUUGAAGGUUUCUUUGUCGUUUAGGGUCGCAAUAAUCAAAGGAGCAAAGAGUACUAUAAGAUAUGGGAAAUACAUCCAAAGAUGCUGAUAGAGGGAACGUGCCACCAAGGCUAGUGCAUCUGCCAGGAAGGAAAAGGCGGCUCAGAAUCCUCCGAAGAAGCGGUCACGGAAAGCUCCAGCUAUGUCAGAUGCUGCUGAGACUGUUCACCCUUAGCAUGAGGCUACGAAUGUGCAGAUUCAGGGUGAUGGUGUAGUGCGUGAGAUGGAGGAGGAGGAGGAGGAGGAGGAGGAGGAGGAGGAGGAGAUGGUGCAGGAAGGUGAUGAAAGUUCAGUAAUGAAGGUUCGACGCCCGACUUGAGUAAAUCCUUAUGAAGGACAGCCUGUGCCUAAGGAGUUUCCUGGGGGCCGUUGGAUACGUCAGUAUUGUAUGAUUAUGGAGCGCCGCAUAUUGCGAGAUGCAUUUAUGACAACAAAGACCGUGACAUGAUUACGCCGGUCAGCAACGAGACAAAGAUGAAUUCGAUUGUUUAUUUUGUUAAUGACUUCAAAUGGGUGGCACGCAACCAUGGACACCAUAGGAAUGUAUGGCUGAAACUAACUGGAUACUCGUUUCUUGAUCCCGCAUUGUUGUCUACUUUUGUGGAGCGAUGGCACGGGGAGACCAGUAGCUUCCAUAUGCCGAGCAGAGAGAUGACAAUCACGCUAGAUGACGUGUGUUGUCUUGUGCAUCUACCCAUUAAGGGACGUCUGCUAGACCAUAAAGGUAUCCCGACCAAAACUGAGGGUGUUGAGUUAAUGAUUAAGCAUAUGGGAUCAACUCGGGAGGAAGCUGAGCACGAGGUUAAAACAACCAAGGGUGCACAUCCAAGGUUCGUAUAUUUGAAGGAACUCAUCAAAAAACACACGUAAGUAGUCAACAAAAUUGAGGUGGAUGGUGAUAAGGACACUUUUGAGAGGUAUAAGGGAUAUAUUACGAGGGCGUACCUCUUAUUGUUGGUUGGAACCACUAUCUUCUCUAACAAGGCAAAGAACAACGUGGACCUGACAUACUUAAAGUAUUUCAUAGAUCUGGAUCAGGUUCACACAUAUGCGUGGGGCACUGCUGCACUGGCAUUCCUUUACCGGGAGUUGACAAACGUCACUGUUCCGUCCUGCAAAUAUGUGGCUGGAUACAUGACGCUGCUACAGGCUUGGAUCUACGACUACUUUUUGGACAACGGAGGGUCUUUGGAUACGCAAUACGAACAACAAUACCACCGAGAUGUUUGCCCCUUUGAGGAUAUAACUUUGUACUCCGGUUGCAUCAGUUGUGGGCCGAUCAAAGUAAGGUAUCUACCAGAGCGGGUGUUACGGUAGUGUGGCUACGUGUAGACCAUUCCCCGUCAUCCAGAUUCCGCUGCGAAUAUAUUGGACACAGUAGAUCGUAUUGAUCAGCAUUGGCUCAAUUACACGGAUCGCGUUCUGACUUUUGAUAUGCUUGGCAGCCGUGCUACUAUUUUGUCAGACACUGCCCCCGGAUACAUGUCGUGGUAUUUCAGGAUAUCACAUCCUUACAUCGUCUAUAUCCCGAUGAGUCUGAUGCAACAACCUAUGCCUGUUGAGUCUGAUGCUGCUAUGCUUGGUAGAUUGGCCAGCAUCCGGAAAAUACUCAACGGUGUUAUGCACAUCGAUGAAGUUCCAAACAGCUCUCGUGUUUACAAUGAACUCCAGUCUGCAUACACUUUGACAUUUGUACUGAAUCAGGGUGAACCCGGUUCUAGUAGUCAGCAUUAGGAAAGAUUAUUUUUAACUCUGGUUGUUUUAUUUUGUAUCUAUUUGAUGCUUUGGAAUUGUUUGGAUAUUAAUUAGUUUAACGUUGUUCGCGAUAUUACUGCAAAUGCACAUGUAUAUCUUGUAGUUAUAAAAGAUUAUUGAUCCCACA